rnacentral:rRNA from 1 species
AAUCUUCCGCAAUGGACGCAAGUCUGACGGAGCAACGCCGCGUGAGUGAGGAAGGUUUUCGGAUCGUAAAACUCUGUUGUGAGGGAAGAACAAGUAACGUUCUAGUAGGUGGGUACGUUGACGGUACCUAACCAGAAAGACACGGCUAACUACGUGCCUGGCGCCGCGGUAAUACGCCGGUGGUAAGCGUUAGCCGGAAUUAUUGGGCGUAAAGCGCGCGCAGGCGGUUUCUUAAGUCUGAUGUGAAAGCCCACGGCUCAACCGUGGAGGGUCAUUGGAAACUGGGGAACUUGAGUGCAGAAGAGGAGAGUGGAAUUCCAUGUGUAGCGGUGAAAUGCGUAGGGAUAUGGAGGAACACCAGUGGCGAAGGCGACUCUCUGGUCUGCAACUGACGCUGAGGCGCGAAAGCGUGGGGAGCAAACA